UACAGAGGGGGCAAGCGUUGUUCGGAAUUACUGGGCGUAAAGGGCGCGUAGGCGGCCUUCUAAGUCGAACGUGAAAUCCCCGGGCUCAACCCGGGAACUGCGUCCGAUACUGGAAGGCUUGAAUCCGGGAGAGGGAUGCGGAAUUCCAGGUGUAGCGGUGAAAUUCGUAGAUAUCGGGAGGAACACCAGUGGCGAAGGCGGCUUCCUGGCCUGUUCUUGACGCUGAGGCGCGAAAGCUAGGGGAGCAAACGGG
rnacentral:rRNA from 1 species